CAGAAGGAAAUUGGUGUGAGAGACUCAGAGGGAAAUAAUAAGGAGAAAUUCUCUAAACCGUAGAUACAGCUCAUGAAAGAAGUUCAAGGGCUGUACAACCCUUGGGAGCAAAGUCUGUUCCUCAACCAUCAUUGGAGGCAUUGGUACUAUGGACUGUACCUUGUCUGUGACACAUGGAGCUGACUGCUGCUGAAGGAUGUGGAGUUGCCUGCAGAGGCCAAAGGGGUCACCAUUGCUUUGGGAAGCAGGGCUGGAGCAAGCAGCAAGACAACAGCAACCUGGUGUGCUUUAAAGGAGCCCAACUUUGUGGGGUGAAGUGAUCAGUUCUUGCAGGCUAAGGAGGACUUAUUCACUGUCGUAAAGGCUCCAUAGGAAUGCUAAUCAAAGACAAAUUUUCAGCACAAGUCAGAAAGUCCAAAGGAUAGCAGCAGAAAUUUCCCAUGCUUCCUAUGCCUCCAAAUGCCUUUGCACUUGCUAGUACAUUUUGCUCCUACUUCUUUUUUGUAAAAGGUCAUUAUUAACUGACUCUGUCACACACACAUUUCAGUCUAAACUAUUUUUGGCUGCAAACAAGUCAGUAAUAUUAAAACCGUAACAGGUAGAGGGCACCUGUAUGUCUCCACAUUUGCAUGUCGUUACCCAUGAUUACUGGUGGUGAUUCUUGACUCCAUGGAGCUGUUGAGAGUCAUCUGGCUCUUUGUGCUGGAAGGCAUCAGGGAAAUGCAGUCCUUCCAAAGCAUCUUGCAAUUAUUCUCAGUUAUUGGUAUGAUACCAGGUCUGCUGGGAUUUCAAGAAGGUUCAUCCUGGCUUGCCAUACAGGACCCUGUCCUCCGCAGAAUCAGCUCACUGUGCAACUACUGACAUUGAAAUCAGAACCAUGAAGUCUCUCCUGUGCUGCCCUGCUCAUGGGGAAGCAAGUCCUUGCUCUCGACUUUUCCUGCCCCUGCCACCCUUGCCUUUUGCUCAGCCACAUGUGCCUAGAUGGUUUUUGCUUCACAGCUCCUUCUGCUCCUUUAAAAGCAAUUACACAGGGAAUGUUAGUGAUGCAAACUUGUUUAAACCUGAGCACACAGUUAAGUCAGCUUUGUAAUUAAUUGCCUCAUCACUGCAGUCAUCCUUCAGAAAUGCUGUGCUGCUGGUUCAGGAGUAAGAAAGGGCCAGAUCCCCAGCAGAGAUCCCCCAAAAUGAAUGAAAUCAUGAAGCUGCACAGGAGGCCAGGUCUGACCCCCAGAAACGAUGAAGAGGGAGUGCCAUCAUCAUGGGCCCACCAACAACCCAGUAUGCAGAGGUGGGCAUAGGAGUGCCAUGAGAGCCCCCAGUGCACCGCUGGUUUUGUCCUGGGGAAAGGAUUUGUUUCCCCAAGGCAUGGCCUUUGCAGUCAUCCCCCCCGGGUGCUUCGUCAUGGCAGGACUGCUUUUCACCUGCCUCAGAGCCCUCUGGAGCUCACACCAGAAGGGGAGAGAGUAAGCAAGGAACCCAUUACCAGCAUGUGAGAGCUAAUGGAAACAGCAUGGGACUGAAAAACAUAUCACUGGGGGCCUGUCUAGAGACACGUAUGGAUGAUAUGGAGGUAUGGCGGCAGCACCUUCUCCCUCAUGUAUCUGUGGUGAGAACUAACAAAGGCAAACCAGCUGAAGCCAUAAAGCUCCAACUACUAUUAUCUUCUUUCUACUCACAUCUAAAUCUGCCAAGGGCAAGGACCCUCGGGUCCCGUGAUUGCUGCAGUUCCUGGG